ACACGCAUGACACACUGCAUAUCAAUAAGCGGAGGAAAAGAAACUAACUAAGGAUUCCCUCAGUAACGGCGAGUGAAGCGGGAAGAGCUCAAAUUUGAAAUCUUCAAGGUUUGACCUUGACGAAUUGUAGUUUAAAGAAGUGUUUUCGGUUAGAGGAGUUUAGUAAAAGUUCUUUGGAAUAGGACAUCAUAGAGGGUGAGAAUCCCGUAUUUGACCAUUAUUUUCUAGCUGUGUGAUACACUUUCAAAGAGUCGGAUUGUUUGGGAAUGCAGUCCAAAAUGGGUGGUAAAUUUCAUCUAAAGCUAAAUAUUGGCGAGAGACCGAUAGCGAACAGGUACCGUGAGGGAAAGAUGAAAAGAACUUUGAAAAGAGAGUUAAACAGUACGUGAAAUUGUCAAAAGGGAAGCGUUUGACACCAGUGUUGUUUUUCCGAAAAUCAAUUAAAAAUUGAUUCAUGCCAGGUUGUAUUGACCUUAUCAGCUUGCAAUUUGGUUUUGGGUCUCUUUUUGAUGCACUUUUCGGUUAACAAGUCAACAUCAAUUUCCUUUGCUGUAAAAAGGUAAGAGGAAGGUGGCUUCAAUUUCGGUUGAAGUGUUUAUAGCCUUUUAUCUCUGCAGUCGGGGAGAUUGAGGUCUGCAGCGUAGAUCCUUCGGGGCUAGAUACAUUUAUGCUAAGUUAUAGCUUUUCAUAGACAACUUGUUGACUAUGUUUAGUCAUGUAGCUUACUCGUAAGUGCUAUUUUACCUACGCUUAGGAUGUUGAGCGCAUGUCUCUCUCU
rnacentral:rRNA from 1 species